UCCCUCUGGCCACACCAAACAGCAUUUAACAUGCAUCAUGGUCUCAGGUCAAGAGUAUAUUCAAUAGUUGACAGUGAUGUGGCCUCUAGCUUUCCAGAAGAGAGGAAGUCACUGUCCAUCAUAUAGUGCUUUAAUUUGAGAGGCUGAACUGAUGUCUGUGGAGAAAAGAACACGAAGGAAUAAUAUAAUAUGAAACUCCCUAACAUGAUACACAUACAAAGACUAUUGAGAAAUCAAUGUGGAAAAUGCAAAACUAAGGGAGAAAGCAUUUUGAACCACUCAUCUAAGAAUAUGGUCAGUAUUAAAAAGACAAGAAUAUCAGAAAAAUCUCCCAAGUUAUGUUCAUAGGCUUAGCAGAAUAAAGGUAAGGCUUACUAGUUAAA
rnacentral:lncRNA from 1 species